rnacentral:rRNA from 1 species
GACAGAGGUGGCAAGCGUUGUCCGGAAUUACUGGGCGUAAAGAGCGCGUAGGUGGCUAGAUAAGUCCGGUGUGAAAUCCUUCGGCUUAACCGGGGAAUGGCAUCGGGGACUGUAUAGCUAGAGGACGGAAGAGGAGAGCGGAAUUCCCGGUGUAGCGGUGAAAUGCGCAGAUAUCGGGAGGAACACCAAUGGCGAAGGCAGCUCGCUGGGACGGUACUGACGCUGAGACGCGAAAGCGUGGGGAGCAAACAGG